ACACUGUUAACAGAGAGAGAAAGAGAGAGAGAGAGAGAGAGAGAUGUUGAAGCCUUUGAUUUUGCAAGUUGCAGUGAAUAUGAGUGAGUGAGUUACAGUAGGUUUUGUUAGGGUUUCCUUUUUGCCACUCACAGUUUUUGGCACUGAAACUUCGUCUCCAAGUCUCUUCAACAUGAACUGUGGAGGAAAUGAGGACUUGGAAUAUCGAGCAUCGGCUGUAGGUGACUUGAAUGCAAAUUAUGUUACCCCUUUGCCCCCUGUGAGUCGUUGGUAUGGUCAGAUUUCUGCUCCUGCCGAUAUCAUAAGUAGAGAUGGCACAAAGGAACAAAUGGUGUGCAAUUACCAGAUGAAUUCGGAGGAUUUUUCUGGUUAUAUUUUUAUGUGUAAUGGACGAACAAAACCAGAAUGCUAUAUGUACCGAGUUUUCGGACUUCCUGCUGGAAGAAGGGAAGUUAUUCAGAAGAUUAAGCCAGGGAUGAAGCUAUUUCUAUUUGACUAUGAUGUGAAGUAUCUUUAUGGGGUAUACGAAGCAACCACUGCUGGAAAAUUGAACUGGGACACAGCUGCUUUUGGUGGGAACUUCCCUGCACAGGUGAGAUUCCAUAUCUACAAGGAAUGUCUCCCUCUGCCAGAGAGUUGUUUCAAACAUGCUAUUCGAGAUAACUACCAGACAGGCUCCAAAAAAUUUAAUCCAAUUCUCAGUAGCCAACAAGUAAGUCAUCUAUUAUCAAUGUUCAAUCCUCUUACAAAGCUGUCAUCUGCUAAAUAUGACCAUUACCCUGUAAAGAAUCAAUUUCAAUCCCAUUCAAGGCUUCCUCCUCCAAGUUAUCCAUCCUUUAACUUGAUAAACACCAGUCAUGCUCCACAAGCGUCACUGCCUCCAAGCUAUUCUUCCAUGUAUGGCAGACUUACUUCACCAGCCUUGGAGCCUCAGUAUACUCAAACGAGUGUCCUGCAGCCAGAACAUGUUGGUUAUGGAUAUGCACCACAGAUGGGCUACAUAAAUCCUGCAGUGCAACUGCAAGCCAAUUCAGCUCCAUAUCAGACAUCUUAUACUGUAGAAGCUGGGCAGCCGUACUUGCAUGAAGUACCCAAAUCAUAUGAAAGGUAUGAGGCUGCUGCACAGGCUAUGGUUCCUACUCAUCAAUACACUGACUGGAGAUAUGAGUACAAUCAGUUACCGUCACAGACCCAUAUGCAGAUGCAGGAGAAUGCUGCUCAACACCAGAGUCUCUAUCAAGUGCCUGCAGCCCAUCAUGUUACACAGCCUAUACAACAACACGCAUCGAGAUUCAAAGAGCCUGGGCCUGCUGUGAGGACUCUUCCCAUUUGAUCAUCAAAUACCUGGACUCUGCAAAUUUAAACUGGGUAGGCAGCUUUCAUUUUGCAGGUCAUAGUUGACUGUGAUUCCUAGAUAUAUGCAAAUUACAUUUAUAUGAUAAAUAUAUUACAGCAAGAUGAUGCGUAGAUUAGCUUUGAGUGAUGCUGCAGCAUUCCACUUGAUCGAAAUCAUAGUACUCAUUUGAACUGGAUCUCCUCAAGUCUUUACUUGAAUUAUUAAAGAGCUGGAAAAGGGGGGUUGAAGUGGGCCAGAAAGACUUGUGCAGUCGUCAAUGAGAUUUUUUUUUUUUUUUUUUUUCGUUUUUGUUUGGGCCAGUUGUUUAGUUCAAGGAAAUGCUCUAUCUUUUUAAGGACUCUAGCACUAAUAGUCUAUAUAAUCAUCAUAUCUUGUUCUGCUUUUAUGGGGUUAGUAGUGAGCAGGUAUCCAAUUACAGCAUAUUAUGCUACCUAAACAGGCAU